UGCUAUAUUUUUGAGUCAAAUAAUGAAGGGGAAAAGAUCUGUGAUUCUGUUGGAUUGGCAAAACAGAUAGCUUUGCAUGCAGAAUUGGACUUGGAAGAACAAAGUCGAUUGAUAGUUGCUUCCAGCAGAGCCACUCAAAGCAGUGGAGAGGGACAAUUUGUAGUCCUUAGU